GGGGGUCUCCUUGUCGUUCUCUUCCUCCUAUCACCCGCAAUCUAAUGGUGCGGCCGAACGUGCUAAUCAGUCUGUGGAAUUGUAUUUGCGCUGCUUCACUAAUGCGCACCAGGAUGACUGGUCUCGCCUUCUUCCGUGGGCUGAAUUUGCCAGGAAUAUGGUGUCUCAUUCGUCUACUGGCUUAAGUCCUUUUGAGGUUGCUUAUGGGUUUCGUCCUUCUGUCCUUCCCGGUGCGUUCUCCGACAAGGGAAUGCCCGCCUUGGACCAGCACCUCGCCUCUUUGCGGAA